CCGCCGAUUCCGAAUUCGAUUGCCGAUUUUGUGGCUCGUAGGCCUAACACGGAAAUGCUUUGGCUGGGCAAGAAGCAGGUGAGGAGAGACGGCCGAAUCCACUGGCGAAGCCAAACUUGAGGACAAAUGCAGCCGAGGCGCGCCUUAGCCGAAGACUACACGUUUGUUCCGACGACCAUUUUCGAAAUGGCUCCGACGAAGGCGGUCACACCUGUGAGAACGCGAUUUUGUUUAGAAGAUGACCUCGCUUUGUUGCGCGAGGUUCGCGCAGUGAACCCAUUUGCCGAUCCGGCAGGAUGGGCAAGCGUGUGUACAAACAUCAAAACGACAACAGGAAAGUACUUCAGCCAGCGCGCACUCCGCGACAGGCUGGACCUGCUGCUCGCCCAGUACCGACGUAACGACCGGGCGAACAUGAGGAAGGAACCCGGACGAAGAAAGUCCAGCGACUACACAGUUGCUGCAAAUAUAUGAAGAUAUACAUCCAGGUGAUGAACCUGCGUUAGAUUUGGGUGUGCCUACCUGCAGGAACUCCCCUGAGCUUACAAGUGCACAGCCCGAUACUGAUCAGUGUAGCUCAAGAGGGACGCUGCAGGGAAGGCAAGGCAAGUAUACGCUGUGUGUAGUUAGGCCACCUGUAAAAUACAAAUGUGUGGAGUAGUUUGUCACUGCCUAUCUACAAACAGCAUCUUAACAGUGCCCCUCUCAUUUGAUCUUUAUUUGCAGGUGUGAAAAGGGCUGCCGAGAAGGGCAACCUGGCUUUCUUCGAGCAAAGACUGAAGUACGAGAAGUCAAUGAGAGCCACAGAGUGCUCUUUAGAGGAGCGAAAGAUUGCCCUCGCAGAGCAGCGCCUCACUCUGGAGAGGGACCAGCUGGACCAGAGAAGGCGGGAAUGGGAGGGGCAGCAGCGAAUGCUGGAUGAAGAUAGACAGCUCCGGUGCGAAGAACUUGGGAGGCUGCAGAAGCAGCACGAAAUAGAGAUACAGGAGCGCAGGGCAGAAAGAGAGUCAUCCCUGGCAACUCAGAAGGCACUUCUAGAAAUUAUACACAAGCUUUCGCAAAACAAAAAAUAAACAUUCUUGUAGCGCA